CUUGGUCAUUUAGAGGAAGUAAAAGUCGUAACAAGGUUUCCGUAGGUGAACCUGCGGAAGGAUCAUUAUCGUACAACCGAGGUGCAAGGGCUGUCGCUGACCGUCAAAGGUCGUGCACGCCCGAGCGCUCUCACACAAUCCAUCUCACCUUUGUGCAUCACCGCGUGGGUCCCCUUUCCGGGAGGGCUUGCGUUUUCACAUAAAAACUCGAUACAGUGUAGAAUGUUUCUUUUGCGGUCACACGCAAUCAAUACAACUUUCAACAACGGAUCUCUUGGCUCUCGCAUCGAUGAAGAACGCAGCGAAAUGCGAUACGUAAUGUGAAUUGCAGAAUUCAGUGAAUCAUCGAAUCUUUGAACGCACCUUGCGCCCCUUGGCAUUCCGAGGGGCACACCCGUUUGAGUGUCGUGAAAUCUUCAAAACCCUUUUCUUUGAUCCAUUUCGGUCGGGAAAAGGAUUUUUGGACUUGGAGGUUCAAUGCUCGCCCUUUCUUUUGAAAGCGAGCUCCUCUUAAAUGAAUCAGUGGGGUCCGCUUUGCUGAUCCUUGACGUGAUAAGAUGUUUCUACGUUUUGGGUUUAGCACUGUCCCUUGGACGCCUGCUCCUAACCGUCUCACCGAUAACGAUGGUGCUCUGGUCACCGCCGUCUACAUCGGCGGGAGGCUGGACCCACAAAAAGAAAACCUUGACCUCAAAUCGGGUGAGACUACCCGCUGAACUUAAGCAUAUCAAUAAGCGGAGGA
rnacentral:rRNA from 1 species